GAUGAACGCUAGCUACAGGCUUAACACAUGCAAGUCGAGGGGUAACGAGAGGGAAGCUUGCUUUCCUUGUCGACGAACGGCGGAUGGGUGAGUAACGCGUAUCCAACCUGCCCUUCAGUAAGGGAUAGCCUUUCGAAAGAAAGAAUAAUACCUUAUGUGAUCGUCUGAUGACAUCAGACGACGAUGAAAGAUUUAUCGCUGAAGGAUGGGGAUGCGUCCCAUUAGGCAGUAGGCGGGGUAACGGCCCACCUAACCUACGAUGGGUAGGGGUUCUGAGAGGAAGGUCCCCCACAUUGGAACUGAGACACGGUCCAAACUCCUACGGGAGGCAGCAGUGAGGAAUAUUGGUCAAUGGCCGUAAGGCUGAACCAGCCAAGUAGCGUGCAGGAUGACGGCCCUAUGGGUUGUAAACUGCUUUUAAACGGGGAUAAAGUGAGCCACGUGUGGUUUAUUGCAGGUACCGUUUGAAUAAGGACCGGCUAAUUCCGUGCCAGCAGCCGCGGUAA
rnacentral:rRNA from 1 species